ACACCUUAACAACACACAUCACUCUUGCGGAGGACCCAAAGUCAGUUCUGAGCAGCCACGGUGAAGAGCAUCACUUCAGCUCCUCUGAUGUCCAAGGGCACCUGUACUCAUAUGCACGUGCCCAAGAGCAGACACGUGCACACAAUCAAAAUUUUAAAAAUCUUCUAUCUACGUCCUCUAGGUAUGACAAGGAAACUACACACACGAAAUCUCAACAAUGUGACUACUUAAACAAGACCUGAACAAUGAGAAGACGAGUUGACCUUCCAAAGUGGACGUGGAGAUAACCAGGGGCUAUUGCGGUGAAGCAGUUAUAAACUGCUGAGGGAGCGAGAAUUAGCCUUCCCCACGGAUGAGCCCCGUGUGGGAUACGGGACCGCUUCAGCUUGCCCACGGCAGUCAACUGUGACUGUCUUCUCACUGAGAGACACAUCUGCUCCUGGCAGCACCUCCCAAUCUGCUUCAAAGAAGGUGACAGUCAUCUGCUUCAAAGAAGGUGAUGGUCAUCGAAGAACCUUCACUUGGAGUUUGCUUCAAACGUGACAAAGUUAGCCACUGCUUUUCCCUCGACUGAUGACAGCAUGCUGUCCAAACCCUUGACAAGCAGGACACAGGGAAAUUGACUGUCCAACUUUGCAGAGAUAAGGUAGACCAGUCCUUCAAUAUUCCUGCUUCACAGAUAAGGAUAUAAAUACAGUCAGAUAUUCUGGACCUGUGGGCUAAAGAUUGACUGCCCCAAUGACACAGAGACAGCCAGAAACCUCUGUCUUUUCUAUAGCAUUGGAAGAGGCUUGCUCUGUACAUCAUGUUUUCUCAAGUCAUAGUUAUCCUUACAGGUCUCUGAUAGGGCUAGAGACUAGAUAGUU